rnacentral:rRNA from 1 species
AGGCUUAACACAUGCAAGUCGAGGGGCACCUUGGUUGUAGCAAUACAACUGCCGGCGACCGGCGCACGGGUGAGUAACACGUAUGUAACCUGCCCUCUGCAGGGGGAUAAGCGGAAGAAAUUCCGUCUAAUACCGCAUAAUACAAUUUGGAGACAUCUCCGGGUUGUCAAAGGAGUGAUCCGGCAGAGGAUGGACAUGCGGCGCAUUAGCUAGUCGGCGGGGUAACGGCCCACCGAGGCUACGAUGCGUAGGGGUUCUGAGAGGAAGGUCCCCCACACUGGUACUGAGACACGGACCAGACUCCUACGGGAGGCAGCAGUGAGGAAUAUUGGUCAAUGGGCGGAAGCCUGAACCAGCCAAGUCGCGUGAGGGAAGACGGUCCUAUGGAUUGUAAACCUCUUUUGCAGGGGAGCAAGGCGCGGUACGUGUACCGCGAAGGAGAGUACCCUGAGAAAAAGCAUCGGCUAACUCCGUGCCAGCAGCCGCGGUAAUACGGAGGAUGCGAGCGUUAUCCGGAUUUAUUGGGUUUAAAGGGUGCGCAGGCGGACUGUUAAGUCAGCGGUAAAAUGUCGGUGCUCAACACCGGCCGGCCGUUGAAACUGGCAGCCUUGAGUGAGCGAGAAGUAUGCGGAAUGCGUGGUGUAGCGGUGAAAUGCAUAGAUAUCACGCAGAACUCCGAUUGCGAAGGCAGCAUACCGGCGCUCAACUGACGCUCAGGCACGAAAGCGUGGGUAUCGAACAGGCUUAGAUACCCUGGUAGUCCACGCAGUAAACGAUGAAUGCUCACUGUCCGGGCCGUUUAAGGCCUGGGUGGUCAAGCGAAAGCGUUAAGCAUUCCACCUGGGGAGUACGCCGGCAACGGUGAAACUCAAAGGAAUUGACGGGGGCCCGCACAAGCGGAGGAACAUGUGGUUUAAUUCGAUGAUACGCGAGGAACCUUACCCGGGCUCAAACGGAAGGGGACAGUAUGAGAAAUCAUACAUUCCUUCGGGACCGCUUCCGAGGUGCUGCAUGGUUGUCGUCAGCUCGUGCCGUGAGGUGUCGGCUUAAGUGCCAUAACGAGCGCAACCCCUAUCGACAGUUGCUAGCAGGUAAAGCUGAGGACUCUGUCGAGACUGCCGGCGCAAGCUGUGAGGAAGGCGGGGAUGACGUCAAAUCAGCACGGCCCUUACGUCCGGGGCGACACACGUGUUACAAUGGCAGGUACAGCGGGAAGCCACCCGGCGACGGGGCGCAGAACCCGAAAACCUGUCUCAGUUCGGAUUGGAGUCUGCAACCCGACUCCAUGAAGCUGGAUUCGCUAGUAAUCGAGCAUCAGCCACGGCGCGGUGAAUACGUUCCCGGGC